rnacentral:rRNA from 1 species
CCUACGGGAGGCAGCAGUGGGGAAUAUUGCACAAUGGGGGAAACCCUGAUGCAGCGACGCCGCGUGAGUGAAGAAGUAUUUCGGUAUGUCAAGCUCUAUCAGCAGGGAAGAAAAAAGACGGUACCUGACUAAGAAGCCCCGGCUAACUACGUGCCAGCAGCCGCGGUAAUACGUAGGGGGCAAGCGCUAUCCGGAUUUACUGGGUGUAAAGGGAGCGUAGACGGCGCGGCAAGUCUGAAGUGAAAGGAAGGGGCUUAACCCCUGAACUGCUUUGGAAACUGCCAUGCUAGAGUGCUGGAGAGGUAAGUGGAAUUCCUAGUGUAGCGGUGAAAUGCGUAGAUAUUAGGAGGAACACCAGUGGCGAAGGCGGCUUACUGGACAGUAACUGACGUUGAGGCUCGAAAGCGUGGGGAGCAAACAGGAUUAGAUACCCCGGUAGUC